AUGUUCGAAGAGCUGAAAAUGGUUUUCCAAGCUCAUGCCCGGGUCGAGAGAUAUGAAGUCUCCGACAAAUUCUUCAGUUGUAAGAUGGAGGGAAAUAGUUCUGUCAGUGAGCACAUACUCAAAAUGUCUGGGUUGCACAACCGCUUGACUCAGCUGGGAGUUAAUCUUCCGGAUGACGCAGUUAUUGACAGAAUCCUUCGGUCGCUUCCACCGAGCUACAAGAGCUUUGUGAUGAACUUCAAUAUGCAGGGGAUGGAAAAGACCAUUCCUGAAGUAUAUUCAAUGCUGAAAUCAGCAGAGGUAGAGAUCAAAAAGGAACAUCAAGUGUUGAUGGUGAAUAAAACCACUAAGUUCAAGAAAGGCAAGGGUAAGAAGAACUUCAAGAAGGACGGCAAGGAAGUUGCCGCGCCCGAUAAGCCAGUUGCCGGGAAGAAGUCAAAGAAUGGAUCCAAGCCUGAGACUGAGUGCUUUUAUUGCAAAGGGAAGGGUCACUGGAAGCGGAACUGCCCCAAAUACUUAGCGGACAAGAAGGCUGGCAACACUAAAGGUAUAUUUGAUAUACAUGUAAUUGAUGUGUACCUUACCAGUACUCGUAGUAGCUCCUGGGUAUUUGAUACCGGUGCCGUUGCUCAUAUUUGUAACUCAAAGCAGGAGCUGCAGAAUAAGCGGAGACUGGCGAAGGACGAGGUGACGAUGCGCGUCGGGAAUGGUUCCAAGGUCGAUGUGAUCGCCGUCGGCACGCUACCUCUACAUUUACCUACAGGAUUAGUUUUAAACCUCAAUAAUUGUUAUUUAGUGCCAGCUUUGAGCAUGAACAUUGUAUCUGGAUCUCGUUUAAUACGAGAUGGCUACUCAUUUAAAUCCUAG
rnacentral:rRNA from 1 species